GCAUGCGCACUGGAUCUGCAUGGCCUCCAGCAACCGGCACCUGUGUGAGGAACGCAAGUGUGCCCCGACUGUCAAAAUCGUCAAAGUCAAAGCUGUGCCUCACUCGUGGGCUUUCGCAAUAAGAUUUUGAAGGAGACUGGAAUGGAAGCCGCAAACAAGAAAGUUGCUGCAGCCCAUAUAGGGCUCCCGUGGUGAACAUGGCUGCCCAGGAAAACAUAUCUUUGUGUUGAAGCCGGUCUGUGCAUAUUUUAAUGAAGACUAUGAGGUCUGCACCUCGUUCCACACUCACAAAGCUGGCCAGACAGCUGUAGAGUGAGGACCCCCAACACCACGCCUCUGCUAUUGGUAUGAGUGCUUCCAUUUCUUGGAAGUGUUUUUUUACUGCUAUUGGCACCUUGCAGUGGUCAUUUCUUCUUCUUUGUGUAAAACAUAUUUAUGUUUUGUGCAACUGAAAGUAAGUAUGCUGUCACAAAACAAGAAUCUGUGCUGCAGCUGCAACAUGGGCUCUCAAAGCAUUUGCAGUCACUGCAAUGCACUGUACAUCUCUCUCUCUCUCUUAUAGGGUCAUCACUACUACUCUUCUCAGGCAUUGUUCUUCCCUUGGACAAUGACAAAACGCUAACUGCAAGGAGCGUGGAGUGUAUUUCAACUACGAUGUGCAGUGCCUGCCACCAACGUUUGUUAUGUUACAAUCCAUGCAAUGCUAUUUUGGACACAUCAGCACUGAAAGUGGAACAAAGCACCCCAAUGGUAAUCAAGCUUAAGUAGCAUGCCUGUUUGCAUUCUGUCACUCAUCUGCGAACUGGGGUAAAGUUGAAAGGAGCCAUUCCAAGCUGUUGUGCUGGAGAAAGUUACUGCACUGUACAUUUCAGUGAAUAUAUCGCUUUAUGAACACAUAA